CCCUUUCUACACAUCCCCCUCCCACCUCGCUACUACCGUAGUUGGGUGUCUUGGUGGAUUAUAUAUAGAAAAGCAGCCAAAACCGCACAGAGCAAUGAAAAGUCUACGUGAGUCACAGGUGUAUCUGGACUGUGCAAAAACGACAACGACUCAAGUGACGAGUUGGAGGUGGGCACAUCCGCGAUGUCGGUCCGCCAGUUUUCAAUCACGGACGAUUGUGUGUUGGUUUGUUCCGUGCAUUGUUACAAUGUUGCUUUUCUUGCUGAUUUAUUACAUUACCGAUUUUUCAAAUGUUAAUUUUCUCCCUGUGCUUAAAAAUCAUUAAAAAACUGGCCUGAUUAUGCGGCGUAUGGUACGCCGCAGGUUGGCUAGUAUUGUAUAA